CUGAGAGCUCUGGUUUGAAUUUGAAGUCUUAAUUAAUGUUGUUUUACAGUGUUUCAGUACAAGAGGGCAUAGUUUAGAAGCUGAAAAAGGCAACCCAUCUUGUAUGCCCAGUCCAGACCACUGGUUUAAAUGGCAUUCUCCAGCUAGCACAGCCCAUGGAAUCAGCCUCUCUGCUGAGCUGCAGCCAGCUUGUUUUUCUAUUCCUUAAACAGUCCUGCAGCACUUGCCAGGAAAUGCAAGAAAAUAAAAUGACUCACUGAAACAGUAGUUGUUUCCAUUGGAAAAAUUAUUAAAAACAAAUGGUAAUGUUAUCAUAUAUAAACUUUCAUAUUAACAUUCCAUGGCACAAUUGUUUCUGUUGAUGGGUGGCAGUGUCAUAUCAAGGACCAUUUUGUCUUAAAAAUAAUAUUAGUGUGAGCUGAUGCAAGUGCUGAAGUUCCUGAUGCAGUUGUGCUGACACAAGGCAUAGAACAACAAUCUAUGGACCCUGGAAAAAAAAUCACUGUCUGCUGGGCCAAGCUCGUGUUUUCAACCUGCAUAGCAGCAAAUCUGUGAUUUAAUUGUGAAGCUCUUUGCUUACAGGCAGCGUUGAUUCCAUAUACCACCUAUGUUAAUUAUGUUUAUUUUACAGACACACAAACAGAAUUACUAUUUUUUUUCCAAAGUGUGAAGGGAGUGGUUUUAAAACUCAAGAUGCCAGAUAAGAUUUCAAAGCUGCAAGAGAAUUUGCAGAUGAAGAAUUGCAUUAAGCAGACUAACAAUGAAUUUAUUAUCUUCCAGUGAGAACAGUUGAGCGAAUUUCACACCUCACACAAUUGCAAAGGAAUUACGGGCACAUUGACAACACUUGACUCAGUUUGCUUCCAGUAUGAUGUAUUUUUGGAAUUGCUCGGAUACCUUCUUGCAUUGUGACCUCUCCGUGCAUCCAACUUCCUUUAAGGUCUCCCAGAAGUGGAGUGAUGCCGCUUCCUCUGCAGUCUCAAGAUGGACGGCACAAAUAAAGACCAUUUUUACCAAUAGUGCAAUUUCACCCUUAAUAGAUCAAACUCCUCUGUCUCCAAAGCCUGGCACAACACAAGAAGCAACAGUAACCUUGAAUAUCCAUAGGAAUUCAUGUUUAUCUUUGGAAGGUCAAAGCCUAUCUCAAUUUCAGUUUUCAGCUUAACAUGGGGAAGGUUCAGCUCUUUAAAAAUACUGUGAUAAAAUGUCUAGAAGAAGAAGUCUGGCUCACUCCUGCAGGAUUCAUUACUUCUCCAAUAAAUGCAACAUGGCAUUUCAACAUGUUUGUAUUGCGUCUUCACUAGUUUUUGUUAUGUAUUUGAAAUAUAAUGAUACUCGAUAAUAGUUCAUGGCAGAGUUAUUUUUAAAAUGUAUAAUAGUGACAGCAUUCAGACAUAUUAUACACUUAAUUUGAAUGAGAAAAAGUUUGUGAUUCACUUGCCUUACAGAAAUUAUAUUUCACUGUCAUUAUCAAAAUUACAUUAUUUAAGUACUGCAUGAUUUUCAUACCAAAUUAUCUUUUCACAGAAAAAAAAAAUCAGUGCGGUCAAUUACAGUGUAUUAAAAACCUGAACACCAUUUUCAUAUUACGUUACAAACAUUCUUUGUACAUUGUUUCUUUGCUGUAGCUCUGCUGUUUCAUCAGAUAUAACCACCACCAUUGAGAUGCACAAAACUGGUCUGAAUUGGGAAGAAUGUACAGGAGAUGUUGAUGCUGGGAUCCAUUAUGCUAAAUGUAUGUGUUAAUCACCAGUGUUCUAUUAUGCUUAUCUUUCUGUGGAUUUUUGGCUAAUUUUCCAGGUCUGGGAUAUUAACAGUACUUUUGGUAUACAUGGAUUAGGUUAUUCUAUUAGGGAUGGAAUGGCUAAGUAGGUGAAACCAAAAAAAUGCAGUAAAAAGCUGUUGUCUGCGGAUUGUAAAUAUCUGAAUGUCUGAAUGCCUGAAUGCUGUCACUAUUAUACUUUUUAAAAAUAACUCUGCCAUGAACUAUUAUCGAGUAUCAUUAUAUUUCAAAUACAUAACAAAAACUAGUGAAGUCACAAUACAAACAUGUUGAAAUGCCAUGUUGCAUUUACUGGAGAAAUAAUGAAUUCUGCAGGAGUGAGCCAAAUAUUUUGCAGCAGACAUAUAUCUCUCUUACUCUGCUCAGCCUCAAAGCCUGGGGAAGGGGAUUGGUUGGUUUGCUUGAACUCAUGGGUGGCUCUUACAGCUCCAGGUUGGUUAUUAAUGAGGAAAAGAAGGUUAAUGGCAGUAGGAGAUGCUGACAGCCCAACAUUUAUUCUGUGAAAUCCAUGUAAUAUCAGAUAAAAAUGGUGUUCAUGUCACACUGGCUACAAAACCAGUUGCUUUUCAAAUAUGUCUAAA